GAAAAAAAAAGAUAGUAGUGGCUCUCUCUUUAAUCUUGUAUAAAGAGAAAAAGCUUUGUUUUCACUUCUGUUCUCCCUCUGGUUUCAGCCAUUUCUUCUGCCUUCUCUGAGGCCUCCUUUUCCCCUUUCAGGUAAGGGAGGUCGUUCCUGGUCCAGAAUAGUGGGUCAAUUACUUCAGGAUUAAUGGGUUAACGAUUUCCAGUGGCGUGGUAACUCUUUAAGAUAUUACCCAUAUCUUUCUUUGAGCAUUUAGUCUCUCGAUGGCCAGAGAAGUAAAAGAGCUUUGCCCACCACUCAUCUAUUCCCUUGGU
rnacentral:misc_RNA from 1 species